rnacentral:rRNA from 1 species
UGUUCGGUUAAGUCCGCUAACGAGCGCAACCCUCGCUGUAUGUUACAUGUGUCAUACAGGACCGCCGGUAUCAAGCCGGAGGAAGGUGGGGAUGACGUCAAGUCCGCAUGGCCUUUAUGUCCGGGGCUACGACACACGCUACAAUGGUCGGUACAAUGGGUUGCUAAGCCGCGAGGUGGAGCCAAUCCCCCAAAGCCGGCCUCAGUUCAGAUUGCAGGCUGCAACUCGCCUGCAUGAAGCUGGAGUUGCUAGUAAACGCGCGUCAGCUAUAGUGCGUUGAAUACGUUCUCGGGCCUU